rnacentral:ncRNA from 1 species
GGGCUCGCGUGGAGCUGGCCAUGUUUGAAGUCAUUACCCUUAACCGUAAGGAGGGGGAUGCCUAAGGCUAGGCUUGCGACUGGAGUGAAGUCGUAACAAGGUAGCCGUACUGGAAGGUGCGGCUG